rnacentral:pre_miRNA from 1 species
GAUACAGAAUUAUUUUUGCAGUAUAUUCCUGAAUACAUAAUAUAAGUGUAUUGGGAACAUGUUGCAAACGUAAUUUUGUAUC